GCCAUUCUCCUGCCUCAGCCUCCCGAGUAGCUGGGACUACAGGCGCCCGCCACUGCGCCCGGCUAAUUUUUUGUAUUUUUAGUAGAGAGGGGGUUUCACCGUGGUCUCGAUCUCCUGACCUCGUGAUCCGCCCGCCUCAGCCUCCCAAAGUGCUGGGAUUACAGGCGUGAGCCACCGCGCCCGGCCAGUUCAAUGGAUUUUAAAAAUUAUUAUUCUCUAGAAAAAAGACCACGAACUUUGGAGUGGACAUCCUGAGACCUGCCUACGAAGACCAUUAGGUGGCCUCCAGAAGACACUCCCCUGAUUCCUACACCGAGGGAACACACAGCAGCAAGCUAGGAAAGAAGGGGUGACCCAGCCCAACGCUGUAAACCAGGGCGCGAACCGGCGUUGAGCUGUGCAGCUGCGCCCUGGGCUCCAGUCCUGCUCUGCCGCAGACCCCACCGGAGCCAGCACCUGCCUCCCCGACCCUCGCUGGGGCGGCUGUGAGAUGAGCCCAGAGCCUUCCUGAGCCAACCCUCGCAAGGAAAGUCUGUCUGUUCACCCCACUAUCCUUGUCUUGAAGGAUGAAGAAAAGAGGGCCCCCCGGGAGGUCCCAAAAGGUGGAAUGGACAUCUGGGAUCCAAGCACAGCAAUUUCUUUAUUUUUCUUAAGGUAUCCAGCUUGUUGGAAUCUAAGAUCUGCGAAGCCUCUCACUAGAGGAUGAAAAUCGUUCUGCAUAAAGGCCUGGGCUUUAUGAAAAAUAUAUUCACACCUCCCGUGUCCGAGCUGGGAUACCAAAGAAGUUCCUGGUUGAGUACUACUUAUGAAUGAAGGAUUCAGGGGAUGCACAGAGGAAUCUGGGGGAUAUUAUGGUUCUGGGAAUGUGGAAUGUAACGUCUCAUCUUCAGCCCAUCUGUGCUACUGAUCAUCUCAUUCCAGAAGCCAUGCCUUCUCUCAGGAGCAGACAGCACAAGACUUUCCUGCCAGAGGCACAGUCCCCAGUGGGAGUAGCAUCCACAUAAGACAGGAUGCAGAGAUGUCUUCAAGCAGCUUCAAACAAAACUUCAAGAAAGAAAGUGCAAGUGAAAAAGGAAAUUCAUCCUUCCAGUCACUUAACACAGCACUGUCACGGACACCUUGUGCCUCCUUAAAAUUCGUAUACUGAAGUUCUAAGCCCCAGUACCCCAGAAUGUGACCUUCUUUGGAAAUAGGGUCAUUGCAGAUAUGAUUAGUUAAGAGGAGAUCAUACUGGAGUGGGCUUUAAUCCAAUAUGACUGGUGUCCUUAUGUAAAGGGGAAAUUUGGACACAGACACACACAAGGAGAACACCAUGUGAACUGAAGUCAAAGAUUUGGGUGAUGCUUCUACAAGCCAAGAAAUGCCAAAGAUGACCAGCAAAGCACCGGCAGCUGGUGGAGGAGCCUGGACCAGAUUCUUCCUCACAGCCCUCAAAAGGAACCAAUCUUGCCAAAGCUUUGACUUAGACUUCUAGCCCCCUGUGAUGGUUAAUGUUAAGUGGCAGCUUGACUGGGUUAAGGGAUGCCCAGAUAGCUGGUAAGACAGUAUGUCUGUGUGCAUCUCUCAGAGUGUUUCUGGACAAGAUCAGCAUUUGAAUCCUUAGAGUAAAGAAGAUCUGCCCUCACCCACGUGCAUCACCCUAUCUCUGGAGAGCGCGAACAAACAGGAGGAAGGGCACAUAUGCUCCUUCUGUUCCAGCUGGCACAUCCAUCUUCUCCUGCCCCCUGACUUCAGAGCUCCUGGUUCUCGGGCCUCAGGAUUCCAGCACUUACAUGAGAGCGUGCUUCCCCCUCCCUACUCCACCCCUAGGUUCUCCGCCCUUUGGCCUCUGACUGAAUUCCACCACCAGCUUUUCAGGGUCUCCAGCUUGCAGACGGCAGAUCGUGGGACUUCUUGGCCUCCAUAAUUAUGUAAGCCAAUUCCCAUAAUAAAUCUCCUAUCUAUCUAUCUAUCUAUCCAUCUAUCAAUCAUCUAUCUAGUCUAUCUAUCUAUCUAUCUCUAUCCUAUUGAUUCUGUGUCUCUGAGGAACCCUAAUACACCUCCAGAACUGUGAGAUGAUACAUUUCUGUGGUUUAAGCCACUCAGAAGGUGGUACUUUGUUUCACCAGGCCUAGCAAACUAAUACAAGUGCAUGGAAGGUGACUACUCAUGACUGCAACUUAGAGAACAAGGGUUAUAAUAAAAAUAAAAGUGUUAUACAAAGGUGGCAAGAUAAAUGACAAUAAAUGAAAAUAUUAACAUGUGAAUUAAAAAGUAAAGAUAUUUUUCCUAGCAUUCUCCCAGAAAGUAGAGACGCGUCUCUCUUGUUUGCCAUCAUAUCCAGCAAUGGCAAGAUAAGUUCUAGGCACUUCAUAA
rnacentral:lncRNA from 1 species